GUCCAGCCGAUGAGUCCCAAAUAGAACGAAACCCGCGUCCUGGAU
rfam:Schistosoma haematobium scaffold1478_2, whole genome shotgun sequence.